rnacentral:rRNA from 1 species
AACGAACGCUGGCGGCAGGCCUAACACAUGCAAGUCGAACGCACCGCAAGGUGAGUGGCGCACGGGUGAGUAACACGUGGGAAUGUAUCCUUUGGUUCGGAAUAACGUCUGGAAACGGACGCUAAUACCGGAUGAGCCCUUAGGGGGAAAGAUUUAUCGCCGAAGGAGCAGCCCGCGUCUGAUUAGGUAGUUGGUGGGGUAAAGGCCUACCAAGCCGACGAUCAGUAGCUGGUCUGAGAGGAUGAUCAGCCACACUGGGACUGAGACACGGCCCAGACUCCUACGGGAGGCAGCAGUGGGGAAUAUUGGACAAUGGGCGCAAGCCAGAUCCAGCCAUGCCGCGUGAGUGAUGAAGGCCUUCGGGUUGUAAAGCUCUUUCGCACACGACGAUGAUGACGGUAGUGUGAGAAGAAGCCCCGGCUAACUUCGUGCCAGCCGCCGCGGUAAGAC